rnacentral:tRNA from 1 species
GUCCAGGGAUGGGAAUCGAACCCACAAUGUUCCGCUUACCGGGCCGAUGCCAUGUCCACUAGGCUACCCUGGA